AUUGAACGCUGGCGGCAUGCCUUACACAUGCAAGUCGAACGGCAGCACGGGAGCAAUCCUGGUGGCGAGUGGCGAACGGGUGAGUAAUACAUCGGAACGUGCCCAAUCGUGGGGGAUAACGCAGCGAAAGCUGUGCUAAUACCGCAUAAGAUCUACGGAUGAAAGCAGGGGAUCGCAAGACCUUGCGCGAAUGGAGCGGCCGAUGGCAGAUUAGGUAGUUGGUGAGGUAAAGGCUCACCAAGCCUUCGAUCUGUAGCUGGUCUGAGAGGACGACCAGCCACACUGGGACUGAGACACGGCCCAGACUCCUACGGGAGGCAGCAGCGGGGAAUUUUGGACAAUGGGCGAAAGCCUGAUCCAGCCAUGCCGCGUGCAGGAUGAAGGCCUUCGGGUUGUAAACUGCUUUUGUACGGAACGAAAAGUCUCUUUCUAAUAAAGAGGGAUCAUGACGGUACCGUAAGAAUGAGCACCGGCUAACUACGUGCCAGCCGCCGCGGUAA
rnacentral:rRNA from 1 species